UACGAAGGGGGCUAGCGUUGCUCGGAAUGACUGGGCGUAAAGGGCGCGUAGGCGGCUUGCACAGUCAGGCGUGAAAUUCCUGGGCUCAACCUGGGGACUGCGCUUGAGACGUGUGGGCUUGAGUGGGGAAGAGGGUCGUGGAAUUCCUGGUGUAGCGGUGAAAUGCGUAGAUAUCAGGAGGAACACCUGUGGCGAAAGCGGCUCGCUGGACCAUAACUGACGCUGAUGCACGAAAGCUAGGGGAGCAAACAGG
rnacentral:rRNA from 1 species